GUCAUAGCUCAGUAGCAGAGUAUCUGCCUUGCAAGCAGAAGGUUCCAGGUUCAAAUUCCACUGGGAUCUGUA